CCCAAGGAGCCUUUCUCCUGGCUCUGAGGCCUGACUACCUCUUGUUUGCUCUCUGCCUGCCUGCUCAGAACUGCAGGCUCCUCUGAUGGCAUGCUGCUAAGUCUGCAGAUUUACAGAUGGGAGCACAGCCACAGACUCAGGGGACCCACAGUCUAGCAGAGGAGGGCCGUGUGUCACCAGCCAGUGGACAUACAAUGAUGAAUGGAUUGAGGACCCACUGUGGAGCCAGGACUCAAGGAAAGAGAAGCCCAAGAGCCGCCUCACACUUCCCAAAAGGCCGAGGAGAUAGAGGCGGCAGCCUCCCGGACGUGGCAGAGGGGAAGGCACCGCGUCCCACCCACGUUCAUGGUGUGACUCCAACGGGCUGCUUGGAGGACAGCUGCUCGGAGAGAAGCCUGGAGAGCUAGGCAAGGGUGCUGGAGGGCAGCCCCCUCCCAGUCCAGGAGUCCAGCCUGUUCUCAUGGCAGGGCAGAAGCAAAUGACUCCAUAUCGGGAAGAUGCUUGGUCACUGCUGGGGGAGAUGUGGGCAGGGGUGCACUUACCAAGAAGCCGAAGAGGCUGAGCUGAGGGACCCUGAGUCAAUGAGGCCAUCUACUAAGGCCCUGGGAGGUUUUGAUGCUUAUACCAUUCUCAGCUUUUAGAAACACUGCCAUUUGUUAUGUUAUCCUAAAAAACAUCCAUUUUCUACACCUAACUUUGUAUUUGUAAAAUUGUAUUUUUUAAAGAGACUCUCUGAAUUGUAUAAACAGCCCUCACAGAACCUGCUUCCCAGGCACACUGGCCCACAAUCCCCCAGUGUGAUAUGCGUCGCUGAAGCCAGAUGCAUUGCUGCUUUUUACAGACACCUAAUAAAAAUUUGA